AGCCUAAUCCUAGCUCGAUUACUCUCAUGACAAGACAACUAAAAACUUACUACAUCCAUAAACCAAAACAUUUCCUUAAGCCCAGUAUAGGUGAUAGAAAAGUAUUACAUUCGACGCGAUAGAAGCAUGUACCGUAAGGGAAAGAUGAAAUAACAGUGAAAAACAAAGCUAGAAAUAGCAAAGAUUAACCCUUGUACCUCUUGCAUCAUGAUUUAGUAAGAACAACCGAGCAAAAUGAAUUUUAGUUCGCCGCCCCGAAACCCAAGCGAGCUACUUGUAAGCAGCUAUUUCCUUGAGCAAACCCGUCUCUGUUGCAAAAGAGUGGGAUGACUUACUGGUAGAGGUGAAAAGCCAAUCGAGCUGGGUGAUAGCUGGUUGCCUGUGAGACGAAUCUAAGUUCUACCUUAAUUUUCUCCGUACGGCCACUCAUAACAACCCCCAAUGUAGCAAAUUAAGAGUAAUUUAAAGGAGGUACAGCCCCUUUAAAAAAGGACACACCCUCCACUAGUGGAUAAGUACCCACUUUACUCCCUGUAGGCCUUUAAGCAGCCACCAGCAAAGAAUGCGUCAAAGCUCACCGUAAAAAAAUAUAAAAACAGUACAACUCCCUCCACCACUAACAGGCUAAGCUAUGACAAUAGAAGAAUUAAUGCUAAAAUGAGUAACUAGGGAAUCCCUCUUAAGCGCAAACUUACAUCUCUAAAAUUAUUAACAAACUAACCAAAUACUUCAAUUAUACCAAGACUUAAGUAUUAACCUACCUUGUUAACCCAACCUAGGAGCGCCUAUUAGAAAGAUUAACAUCUGUAAAAGGAACUAGGCAAACCCAAGGCCCGACUGUUUACCAAAAACAUAGCCUUCAGCAGACCAAGUAUUGAAGGUGAUGCCUGCCCAGUGACAUCAUGUUUAACGGCCGCGGUAUCCUAACCGUGCGAAGGUAGCGCAAUCAAUUGUCCCAUAAAUCGAGACAUGUAUGAAUGGCUAAACGAGGUCUUAACUGUCUCUUACAGAUAAUCAGUGAAAUUGAUCCCCCUGUGCAAAAGCAGGAAUAAAUACACAAGACGAGAAGACCCUGUGGAACUUAAAAAUCAACGACCACUAUACAAAACCUAACCCCUAAAAGGCUUAUCCUACUCUAACCGCUGGUCCGUAUUUUUCGGUUGGGGCGACCUUGGAGAAAAACAAAUCCUCCAAAAAUAAGACCUCCACCUCUUAACUAAGAACAACCUCUCAACGUACUAAUAGUAACCAGACCCAAUACAAUUGACCAAUGAACCAAGCUACCCCAGGGAUAACAGCGCAAUCCCCUCCAAGAGCCCCUAUCGACGAGGGGGUUUACGACCUCGAUGUUGGAUCAGGACAUCCUAAUGGUGCAGCCGCUAUUAAGGGUUCGUUUGUUCAACGAUUAAUAGUCCUACGUGAUCUGAGUUCAGACCGGAGCAAUCCAGGUCGGUUUCUAUCUGUGAUGAACUUAUCCUAGUACGAAAGGACCGGAAAAGUGGGGCCCAUGCUCCAAGCACGCCCUAUUCACAAGCAAUGAGCCCAACUAAAUUGCUAAAACAUUCACCCAAACACAUCCUAGAAAAGGAUAA
rnacentral:rRNA from 1 species